rnacentral:tRNA from 1 species
GGCAUUGUAGCUCAAGUGGCUAGAACGUUGGCUGUUCUUAAGCCUUCAUCUUCCUUUCGUGGGUUCGAAUCCCACCGAGGCCG